rnacentral:rRNA from 1 species
CGGACUGGCCCAGGGAGGUCGGCAACGACCACCCAGGGCCGGAAAGUUGGUCAAACUCGGUCAUUUAGAGGAAGUAAAAGUCGUAACAAGGUCUCCGUAGGUGAACCUGCGGAGGGAUCAUU